rnacentral:rRNA from 1 species
CCCUUAGAUGUUCUGGGCCGCACGCGCGCUACACUGAUGAAUUCAACGAGCUCCUAACCUAGGCCGAAGGGUCCGGGUAAUCUUUGAAAUUUCAUCGUGAUGGGGAUAGAUUAUUGCAAUUAUUAAUCUUCAACGAGGAAUUCCUAGUAAGCGCGAGUCAUCAGCUCGCGUUGAUUACGUCCCUGCCCUUUGUACACGCCGCCCGUCGCUCCUACCGAUUGAAUGGUCCGGUGAAAUGUUCGGACCGCGACAAGGCGGACGGUUCGCUGUCAGCUUUGCUGCGGGAAGUUCAUUAAACCUUAUCAUUUAGAGGAAGGAGAAGUCGUAACA